UACGUAGGGGGCAAGCGUUGUCCGGAUUUAUUGGGCGUAAAGAGCUCGUAGGCGGUUUGGUAAGUCUGGUGUGAAAUCUCCACGCUCAACGUGGAGGGGCCACCCGAUACUGCCAUGACUGGAGUCCGGUAGAGGAGUGUGGAAUUCCCGGUGUAGCGGUGAAAUGCGCAGAUAUCGGGAGGAACACCCGUAGCGAAGGCGGCACUCUGGGCCGGUACUGACGCUGAGGCGCGAAAGCUAGGGUAGCAAACGGG
rnacentral:rRNA from 1 species